rnacentral:rRNA from 1 species
UACGUAGGCAGCGAGCGUUGUUCGGAGUUACUGGGAGUAAAGAGUGCGUAGGCGGCGUUCCAAGUUUGGUGUGAGAUCUCCCGGCUUAACUGGGAGGGUGCGCCGAAAACUGGGGUGCUAGAGUGCGGGAGAGGUAAGCGGAAUUCCUGGUGUAGCGGUGAAAUGCGUAGAUAUCAGGAGGAACACCGGCGGUGUAGACGGCUUACUGGACCGUGACUGACGCUGAGGCACGAAAGCGUGGGUAGCAAACAGG